ACAAAAAAGGAAGGUGAUGUUUUCAAAGUGUUCAGGGAAUGGCUGGAGGAUAUCUGUAUGACUCCCCUAGCUAAAAAAAGGAAGUAUAUGGUAAUAUUGCAAUCUUCAGUUUUCAACAAAAAUUAAAAAUUUUUCAGGAAAGGUGAAAACUGAAUGGGAGAAAAAAAUGUCAUUAUUGAAUUUUGACCAGUAUGAAUCUUCUCAGUGUAGCCUUCUACUGCAGCUUAACAUCAAAUGGAGCAGACAGACUCUGAGUCUCUUUGGCCCCGCUCCAGCUGGGAGGGAGAUGUGUGUUCAGUGUCUCUCUGAAUCAGAUGCUGUAGGAGAUGUUCCUCUCCUGGGUCAGAGUCAUUCCACAGCUCAUGCCUUCAUACAGCAGGAGUGCUCUCUUCCAGGCACUGUGCUGGAAAUCCAGUUUGGUAAAUGGAAAACUUUCCUGUGGAAUGUGAUUUCAGACCCAAAUUACUCGGAUCUGUCCCUAAAAUCUUCAAGGCACAUUGUUUUCAGAAGCUUUUUCCCCUUCCAUUUGCUCAGGUGGCCCUGGCAGCAUGCACAGCUCUGAGCACGGCUACUGCUCGGCCCCUGCAGCCUGGGAGAAGUGCAGCUUCAAGCACUGAGCCAACACAGCAAUAAACUGUAAUUGUUUAGUGCACCUUGCCUUCUGAUACAAUUUAAAUCCCUUCUAUCAAAUGCAAAUUUCUAGGUUCCCGAGUGGAACUUUAAAUAGCAUUUUCUGUGCUCAUUCCUUAUCUUUUGCCAUCCACAAAGUUCUAGUGACAGUGGGAUGGCAUAAUUCCACCCCCAUCAUUUUAGUUCCUAAAGGAAAGCUGCCUACUCAAAUCUGGCAGUAAUGGGCCAGAUGAGGAGUGAAUUGGUGCUUUUCUGUAGAGUCUGCCUCUCUCUCUUGCCCUCCCUAAGUUAUUACAGCCCACGAGUGUUCUCACCAAAAGCUGUUCAGCAUCCAGUGAUGCUUGCAGGAUGCAAUCAGUGUAAUAUUUUAAUCACUUUCAUUUUAGUGAGUCAGACUCUGCUUCCUACUUGCUCCCUUCCAUGUCUCCUAUGAAUAACUUGGUAGAGUUUAGGAUCUUGGGCUGGCUUUAGACAAACUGCCUGCCUAUGUUCAGAAGAAAUGCAAAUCCUUGGCUGAGGAGUAGCUGCUUUGGAAAUCACUCAGUCAUUGACCUGACCUGAAUUAAAGGCAAAAAUGUCAAACCCUUUAAUGAUUUGCCUUAUCUAAGUUUUUGACUUGGAGGAAGAGAAGCUUAAAUUGCUCCACUGAGGAUAAGAAGCAUAGGGAUCGCUGGAGUAAUGAGAACAGGUAGGAGCAGCUUUGUAAGAUAGAUGGGGAACAGUGUCUGUGCUCCAAAACUGAGCAGCUUGGAAGUGAUGAGGGCUGUUCUUUAGAUUGUGCAUCACAUGUUUGAAUUUUACUAUUACUUCAGAGGCUGACAAAAUUAUGAGGGGAGAAAGAAAUCUACCUGGAGAUGUUUGGAAUCUAUUUUUGGGGUAAAAUAACAGGACAUUUAGCUCGGCUCAAUAUUAAAUAGUCUUUUCUAAACUCCUUCUCAUUGUUACCUCAGCUGUAAAAUAGGGAGUUUGUGCUCUGUUGAAGCUUAAUUAAAUGACUGUGAAGUGCUUUGGGAUCCUGAGGUGAAUGUUAAAGAAAUUAUUUUGUGGAAACCUAGCUGAAAAGUCCCAUCUCAUCUCCAGGUUACUAAAAAGGCUUUAUUUUAAUUUUCCCAGGUUUAUUAUGUUUUAAUCAGACAAUUAUUAAACAAAUCUUAAUCAGAUUUAAUAGAUUUCUAUCUUGAUCAGAGAGGGCUAGAAAAGAUAAUGAGCUGCUUUACUACAUGUGCUCUUAGGAGCUAAUCUUUGCAGUUGGUGUCUUGCUCAGAUUCUGUCUCCUGCAUGAUCCGGGUUCAUAUCCUCACACUGAUUGCUCUUAUGAUAUCUUUUUUAUCUUAUUUUUAAUAUAAUCUUUUUUGUCACCCUGAUGUCUUAGUGCUGUUUGCUCUGUGUACUAACCAGCACUGUUAACAUCUCUUGCAUCAUUUAUCCUCAAGCUUUCCCCAGGAACAAAGGGUGCAAUGUGACAGUGGGAAAUUUUGUGUGGUGUGCCAUGGGUUUGUCAGAGAAAGCUGGAAGGAAUCUCUGUCUUCCUACUCCAUGUGUAAGGAAUAACUUGGGUUUUCAAGGACGGCGUGACACAAUAUGGACUACCUACAAUGAAGACAUAUGAACUCUGGAGCACACCAAACAAAUUCCUUGCAUACUUGUUUUCCAGCACAGCAUCAAUCACCACAGGGAUGGGAGAGUGUCCAAAACAGCAGGAGAAAAUGCUACAGCUUGCAGUUCUCAGAUUGUAAUUCAUUUAAAGCCAGGAACAUUAGCUGUACCACUCUAACAUCAGAUACAAAUCUCUUUUCUCCUUUCGCCCAUUUACUAUCUCAAAAGCAUUGAGAUUCAAUAUUUAAAGUUGUCCAGUGUAGAUCCUCAGCUGGUGCAAAGUGACAUAACUGUGCUCAACAGCUGUUCCUGGUCUUUGAAGGCAAUGGAGCUGUGGUGAUUUACAUCUGCUGAGGUAUGAUCUAUCACUGUAUUUCCUCGGCUUUGUCUUUGCCGGCUUGUUUUUCUGCUCUUUUUGCUUGACAAAACAAAUGACACAAUUCCUA